CCGAUCGGUCGAAGCUGAAGCAGCUCGGCCUUGUCGUCGCCUCUUCCCUUUCAUUGUCGGCAUAGAUCUAUGUCAUUGUUGUUUCGAGGGUUGAGUCGUCAUUCUUGUAAGGUUUGAUAUGUGAUCUGAGUCCUAGACUCAACCUGCUGCCACUGGAUCUCUGCACAUCGCAACUCCGAUCACUGGAUUUUGGUUCCUCUUCGUCGCUGGUACAGAUUGGUUAUCGAUCCAUUGGGUGGGACAGAUUUCAUACACAGAAUUAGAUUUAGCUCUGGCCAGCACUGUUCACCGGCGAUCCACAGUGUCGGCCAUCUUGUUACAACUGUGAGCUCUUCAGACAUGAGCUACCAGCAACUCACUUGAGAUUGGAUUCGCAAGGGAAGGAGUUAGCGAACAGUAGUGAAUCGUUGCUAUUGGUUGUGAGCCACUUUCAGUGACAUCUUGUUGCCAAAUUUAGAGUAAGGACUUUGAUCUGAGAUGAGCGUCUCGAUGUGAGAUCAUUUGGCACGAUCUAUAUUUAAGGCGGGUACUUCUUGCAUUAUCUCUUUAGUAAUUUGAUCCUAGUGCAUGAGCUUUAUGUUCAGAUAGUUGUUGUAUCUAUCUUGACUCCACUCUUAUUUUUC